rnacentral:rRNA from 1 species
GGAAUAUUGGACAAUGGGCGCAAGCCUGAUCCAGCCAUGCCGCGUGAGUGAAGAAGGCCCUAGGGUUGUAAAGCUCUUUCAGCGGGGACGAUAAUGACGGUACCCGCAGAAGAAGCCCCGGCUAACUUCGUCCCAGCAGCCGCGGUAAUACGUAGGGAGCAAGCGUUGUUCGGAUUUACUGGGCGUAAAGGGCGCGUAGGCGGCGCGGUAAGUCACUUGUGAAAUCUCUGAGCUUAACUCAGAACGGCCAAGUGAUACUGCAGUGCUAGAGUGCAGAAGGGGCAAUCGGAAUUCUUGGUGUAGCGGUGAAAUGCGUAGAUAUCAAGAGGAACACCUGAGGUGAAGACGGGUUGCUGGGCUGACACUGACGCUGAGGCGCGAAAGCCAGGGGAGCAAA